UACGGAGGGUGCAAGCGUUAUCCGGAUUUACUGGGUUUAAAGGGUGCGUAGGUGGGUAGGUAAGUCAGUGGUGAAAUCUUCGAGCUUAACUCGGAAACUGCCAUUGAUACUAUUUAUCUUGAAUACUCUGGAGGUAAGCGGAAUAUGUCAUGUAGCGGUGAAAUGCUUAGAUAUGACAUAGAACACCAAUUGCGAAGGCAGCUGGCUACACGAAUAUUGACACUGAUGCACGAAAGCGUGGGGAUCAAACAGG
rnacentral:rRNA from 1 species